rnacentral:rRNA from 1 species
UGGGGAAUUUUGGACAAUGGGCGAAAGCCUGAUCCAGCAAUGCCGCGUGUGUGAAGAAGGCCUUCGGGUUGUAAAGCACUUUUGUCCGGAAAGAAAUCCUUGGCUCUAAUACAGUCGGGGGAUGACGGUACCGGAAGAAUAAGCACCGGCUAACUACGUGCCAGCAGCCGCGGUAAUACGUAGGGUGCAAGCGUUAAUCGGAAUUACUGGGCGUAAAGCGUGCGCAGGCGGUUUGCUAAGACCGAUGUGAAAUCCCCGGGCUCAACCUGGGAACUGCAUUGGUGACUGGCAGGCUAGAGUAUGGCAGAGGGGGGUAGAAUUCCACGUGUAGCGGUGAAAUGCGUAGAGAUGUGGAGGAAUACCGAUGGCGAAGGCAGCCCCCUGGGCCAAUACUGACGCUCAUGCACGAAAGCGUGGGGAGCAAACAGGAUUAGAUACCCUGGUAGUCCACGCCCUAAACGAUGUCAACUAGUUGUUGGGGAUUCAUUUCCUUAGUAACGUAGCUAACGCGUGAAGUUGACCGCCUGGGGAGUACGGUCGCAAGAUUAAAACUCAAA